CCCAGCGCUGAAGCGCUGGGCUAAGCUCGGUCGCCCCUCCGGGGCU
rnacentral:sRNA from 1 species